rnacentral:rRNA from 1 species
AUGGAGGAUGACCAAGUGCAAGAUAAGACGCGCCAGGAGGCGGCUUUGAGGGAUUCAAAUCCCGCCAUCCCAUCCGCAGCUGGUUCGGUGGGGGCCGCCAACGCCCAAUCCCUAGCUGUUGCCGAGGAGGAAGCCCCACUGGUUCCGUUGCCAGACAAAAUCGCAGAGAGGUGGGCACCGGUCUUGGACGCGCUGCCGCUAGCGACAACGGAGAUGAUCGACCGCCCAUCAGGUGGUUCGGUGGACCCGGGCCCCAGUAUACAGGAGUCUAGUAAGGGUUUUGAGGGGGCCGACGUGACCACGCCACAUGGAUGCAUGGAAGAGCCCUUGCAUGGUGGCAAUGCUGAUGUUCUUGGUACAAUUAUCGUACAACGACGCGAGGAGAACUUAUCUGCGAAAGAAAUCGUAGCGCUUGGGAACAUCAAGGCGUUUUGCGCUGGGUUGCUUAAAAAGCUUGCCCCGCUGCUUCUCAAGGAGUUUGAAGGUCUGCAAGGGGUCAAAUCAGGCCAAGACCCGUUCACCCCACGCCGCACAACUCGGUCCAUCUGUGCAAGUAGCUCUAGGAAGACGAAGGCCUCGACAGCUGAAACUGUGCUGCUUAGAACCCUGGGCCUGGACUGUGAUGAUCUGGCGAUCUUGGAAGAUGUGCUAGGUCAGCUCCGUACAGUCUUCGACUCGCCACUCUAG